UAGGGAAUCUUCCGCAAUGGGCGAAAGCCUGACGGAGCAACGCCGCGUGAGUGAUGAAGGUCUUCGGAUCGUAAAACUCUGUUAUUAGGGAAGAACAAAUGUGUAAGUAACUAUGCACGUCUUGACGGUACCUAAUCAGGAAGCCACGGCUAACUACGUGCCAGCAGCCGCGGUAAUACGUAGGUGGCAAGCGUUAUCCGGAAUUAUUGGGCGUAAAGCGCGCGUAGGCGGUUUUUUAAGUCUGAUGUGAAAGCCCACGGCUCAACCGUGGAGGGUCAUUGGAAACUGGAAAACUUGAGUGCAGAAGAGGAAAGUGGAAUUCCAUGUGUAGCGGUGAAAUGCGCAGAGAUAUGGAGGAACACCAGUGGCGAAGGCGACUUUCUGGUCUGUAACUGACGCUGAUGUGCGAAAGCGUGGGGAUCAAACAGGAUUAGAUACCCUGGUAGUCCACGCCGUAAACGAUGAGUGCUAAGUGUUAGGGGGUUUCCGCCCCUUAGUGCUGCAGCUAACGCAUUAAGCACUCCGCCUGGGGAGUACGACCGCAAGGUU
rnacentral:rRNA from 1 species